GCGGCUGCGGCUCAGCAGUUUCUCUUGCGUGGCAGGACGGAGAGGCUGCCCUGGCUGUUCCAGCAGAGCCGCUGCCUUUCCUUGCUGCGGCAGCUCUUCAGCCUGGAGAACACUUCCAGCGGCCGGAGGCUCUCGCUCCUCGCAGCGCUCAUGAGGGUCAACGCGGCCGAGGAGUCCGAGGACGCGAGUCACAUCCUCGCGUCCUACCUGGAAUAUGUGCAGUGCUGCCAGGAGCUGGGCCGCCAGGAGGAGCGGCUGGAGAGCGGGCGGGCGGGCGGCCGUCCAGCUUAGCUCCGGCGUCGAGCCCUUUGGAGGAGGAGGGGCGUUAACCGCGGCAGAACUGGCCCAGGCCCUGUCCCGUCUGCACCUCAGCCUGGGAAAUCUGCCCCUCUCUGUCGACGUCGUGCACGGAGCUGGAGAAGCCCGACCUGGACCGGGAGCUUCCAGGCACGCUCUUCACGGCGCUCUUUCUCCAGAUGAGCCUGAAGUCUCGCACGUGAUUUUCAUGAGAAUCCUGCAGAAGGUGUACG